GUGUAGGAGGUGGUAUAGUAUUUACGUGGUUACAUGCAGUAGAGUAGGCAACAACAGAACACCGAUGUGACAACUCUCUUUAAAAUAAAGCUUUAAGUUCGUGCGCCUGCGCAACAUUUCGGGGCUUGGAGAGUAACUGAAGGCUUUUUGGAGACCACCAUUGAUACGAGAAUUACUCUGCAAAGAAAAAAUAACUAUUACUCAAGCCCAUUGAAAUGAUUACGAGAUGCCGCUUGCCUAAUUAUCGUGAACUUGCGUUGGAACAAAUUACAACACAUUAUUGAACGGGUUGCAAUGGAGCCAACGAUUUCCUCCGUAUACAAACAAAACCGAGGCUUCUGUUUUUAAGGUGGAUAUUUAAGCUAGCAGCUACCUAGCCGGUCUACAUUGGAGUUAGUCUCUUUGUAAACACUGCGUCAGUUGUGCUAGCUAGCUAACUACCAUAACAAAGAAACAUGGGACUCGUAUAUUGUUGAAAGGAGGCAGACUCCUUUCCAUACGUUAGCUAAACAUGCGAGAAGAAAAUCGUUCUUUCUCAGGAAGGCAGCCAAUGGCAAUCGAAAGACGAGGUGAACUUUCCAGCUGUGCUGACUUCACGGAGGAGGAAGGGACAUCCGAGAGAGAUCUGCAACCCUGCAACGCUUUUCAUUUUACCUCAAAAUAAAACCCUGAGGUUCUGGAGCGAUGGAAACCGUGGGGAAAUUCGAGUUUAGCAGGAAGGAUUUGAUAGGACACGGUGCAUUUGCGGUGGUGUUCAAAGGCAGGAAUAGAGAGAAACACGACUGGGAGGUGGCCGUGAAAUGCAUAAACAAGAAGAACUUGGCAAAGUCUCAGACCCUUUUGGGGAAAGAGAUCAAAAUUCUCAAGGAACUAAAACAUGAAAACAUUGUUGCAUUACAUGACUUUCAGGAAACGGCCAGUUCUGUGUACCUGGUCAUGGAGUACUGCAAUGGUGGGGACCUGGCGGACUAUCUACACUCCAAGGGCACCCUGAGUGAGGACACUAUCCGAGUGUUCCUGCAGCAGAUAGCCGGGGCCAUGAGGGUGCUGCAGGCCAAGGGGAUCAUUCACAGAGACCUCAAACCACAGAACAUUCUGCUCUCCUACCCCGCAGGACGCAAGUCCCACUCUACCAACACCUGCAUCAAGAUAGCUGACUUUGGGUUUGCACGGUACCUUCAGAACAACAUGAUGGCUGCUACUCUGUGUGGGUCCCCUAUGUACAUGGCACCUGAAGUCAUCAUGUCUCAGAACUAUGAUGCCAAGGCUGACCUGUGGAGCAUAGGAACCAUUUUGUUCCAGUGUCUGACAGGGAAAUCCCCAUUUCAGGCUAGCAGUCCCCAGGACCUCCGGCUAUUUUAUGAGAAAAACAAGAACCUCAGCCCCAAUAUCCCCAGAGAGACCUCCUGUCCCCUGAGGCUUCUGCUGCUGGGUCUUCUGCAGCGAAACCACAAGGACCGCAUGGACUUUGAGGAGUUCUUCUGUCACCCCUUCCUGGAGGCGAGCUCGUCCAUGAAGAAAACAACUCCUGCUGUGACCAUGACGUGCUUUCCCAGCUCCGCUUCAGCCAGCUCCUGUAGCAGCUCUUCCACCUCACACCUGGCCUCUCCACCGCAGUCCCUGGCUGAGGUCCAGCAGGUCCGUACUAAGACACUCGCUUCUCCUACCCAGGAUUCCCCUGGCUUCCUCCUCAAGGACUCGUCUGGAGGGGGCUGCAGCAGUAAGAACUCCUCCUGUGACACAGACGAUUUUGUCAUGGUGCCCGCCCACUUUCCCACAGGUGAGCUCAACUGUGAGGGGCCUACUGGAAAGGUGUUCCACGACAGUCUGAUGAACAGCGGCUCUCUGCUAGCCUUUGGUGGCCUGGGCAGUCAGGGCAAGACCCCACCCCACUCCCCCUCCUACAGUGGCUCCCCCAAUCCUAUCAGUCGGCCUAACGAGUUCUCUGGCAGUAACUGUGGUAACUACGGUCAGUCGGUGCCCAUUCCGGUUCCCACUCAGGUCCAAAACUACCAGCGUAUGGAGCAGAAGCUCCAUUCCCCCAGCCAGGACGGCUCCCCACGGCUGUCCACCCCAGUGCGUCGCUGUAGCAGCAAUAGUUCACUGGGAUUUGGAAGGACUGGCCCAUCUCUGCCUUACCCUGGAGGCUACGGGGCCUUGGCUGGCCUCCGCAGGCUGUCUGUAGGAGGGGCCAGACCCUUCCAGCUUUCACCUCAAGUGGGUACCAUCCCUGAGCUGCCAGGGCAGGUGCGCCCUCUGGGCACAGACACCGGUAGCGGGGGGUCGCAAGACGGAGCUCUCCAGUUCCUCGACAUGCGGCCUCCCGCUCAGCAGCAAGGCCUGGUCACCCGGCUUCACAGCGCCCCAUGUCUCCUCGAGGCUGCUAGCAGGGGCGGCAGGCAAAAUAUCAGGAAGCAGCACUCUGACCCAGUGGUGGCCAACCACCAGGCAGGCAUGGUGACUAUGCGGCCCCUGCACUCCUCCCCCAGGCUGAGUGAACUCAUGCAGCGCAGCCCCCUCCCCACCAUUCUAGGAUCUCCCUCGAGAGCCAUCCCACCCUUUGAGUUUCCAAAACCUCCCAGCACCCCCAACCUGGUGACCUUCCUGGCCCAGCAGGGCCUGGUUCUGGCCCCGCCUGGCAGCAGGACUGCCUCAGACCACAGGGACCCAGGACAGCCGCCCACUGGGCAGCUUGGUCAAUACAGCCACAGGACCGCAGAGGACAACAAGAGCUUUGGCAGGUCUCAGAGUGCAAGUCGUCUGUCUGACAUGUUGCUGAUGGCUGCAUUUGGAGGGCCGCUGGGGGAGCGGGGGAGCAAUGAGAACCUCGGCUCUAACAGAGGAGCCAUAGACAUCACAGCACCCUCUGGUGAUGGUGCCAUGGCUGCAGGCUCAGCCAGCCCAGCCCAGGUGGUGUUCACUGUGGGCUCCCCACCCAACAGCAGCACCCUACCACACACCUCCAGGACCAGGCAGUACUCAGCAGGCUCCUCCAGCUCUAUCAGCCCAGUGGGGUCCUUUACCAGCCGAUAUCAGACAGGCACCUAUCUGGAAGGCUUCGAGGAUCCCUCCAGUCCACGCUACAGCUUCACGGACCCCAUCACAGCCAACAUGGGGGGACCGGUCACCUUCCUGGCCCCUGAGCUGCCAGAUGAGACACUGAUGGCGCAGGAGCACACAGAGACCCUGAGGAGCCUUCACUUCACCCUGGACUUUGCCUGCUGUCUGAUGGAGGUGGCGGGAGUCAGGGGGACCGGGGCUGGGGCUGUGGGGGAGCAAGGGGACAGCUCCCCACCCUCCCUCCUGCGGCAGCAGAGCCUGGUGGCAGACCAGAUCAGCUCCCUCAGCCGGGAGUGGAGCUAUGCGGAGCAGCUGGUGUUGUACAUGAAGACUGCAGAGCUCCUGUCGUCUGCCUUACACACAGCCAUGGAGUGCAUCAAACAGGGCAAACUGUACCCCUCUGCUACUGUCAAACAAGUGGUGAAGAGACUGAACAAGCUUUUUAAGUCCAGCGUGUCGUCCUGCCUCUCCCUCAACGCCCGGCUGGAGCGCUUCUUCUCUAGGAAGCACCGUCUCAUGGACCACAUUAACACUAUCACCGCCGAGAGGCUGCUGUUCAGCCACACCGUUCAGAUGGUGAGGGAGAUACUGUGUUCAGCUCAACACCGUUCAGAUGGUGCAGGCUGCUGCUCUGGAUGAGAUGUUCCACCAGCGAGAGGCGUCGGUGCAGCGCUACCACAAGGCCCUGCUGCUGAUGGAGGGCCUGUCCCUGCUCCUCACCGAGCACGAAGACAUCCUCAUCGUUACCAAAUGUAAGGAGUGCAUCGAGCGCCGCCUCACAGCACUACAGUCAGGGCUCUGCAUCUGAGGACUCUGCUCAGCACCCGUGGAUGCUGCUAAACUAUGAUGUCAGUCAUUCUGGACAGACACCACCAUGCCCAUUCAAUCUGACCCCCUCCCUACCAACUCAGUAUCCUCCCUCCACCCUCUAGUUUCCAUGGAGAUACCAGCCAGUGGGGGGAGGUGUUAUGAAGGGCCUGGACUGGGUAUGGUUGGGACUGGUGACGCUGGUCUCUCAUACUCACAGUGGAGCCUGUGACCGCCUAGUUGAUGUUGGAGAUGAAGGACUUGUGAGAAGGCCACUACUCACUCCUCCGUGUGUCAGACAGGACCCCACUACACGGACUGAGUGUGUUAGCUAUUCAUUUCUGUGCAGUGUCCCAUACACACAGCCUCUAACCGUCAGUAAUGCUGCCCUGAGCAAUCACAGCCAAGCGGUCUGCCGGAGGAUUCUACUGCAGUCACAGACACGCUCCAUUUGAUUCUGUCAAUAAUUCAGCGCUAAGCAAUCACAAAUAGACCCUCACUCCUCUUAAGACAUGAGGUAUCACUCUAUAAGAAGCCACUCUGUGUAAAAAGUAUUAAUCUCAACCCCUACGCGGGGCAUUGUGCUAUUUUUAGUUUGGCUUGUAAUGGUGAUUUGUGGACAAUAGUAUAGCGUGAUAUUACAGCGAGUGGGCUUAACUUGUCUGUUUGCCUCUUUUUGGUUUCUUUGAUGGUUUACAUUGAUUUAGAUUUUAUUUGUCGUUUUCAAGGAAACCAGAAGAGUUUAAGAGCGUUAACACAAUUGUAUGGACUGUCACAGCCCACAUGCCUGUGUGUGGAGAAAAAAAUGUUGUGUGUUAUUGACCCAGCUUAAUGUACAUUCCUGUGAUAGAACCAUAUAAAGGUGCUGUUACAGAAGUAUUGUACUUUAUUCAUCCCUGUCUGUGACAAUUUGUUGAUGCUAAGUUUGCCGUAUUAAGAAUGACAAUGUUGCCAUUUUGGACCCAGCAGAUAGAUUUUUUUGACCAUAAACAGGAGAAUGUAGAGAGGAUUGCUGUAUGUGCCACUUCUGGGCCUUGACAGAAAAUGGACCUCACUGCGCAUUUCCUUUUGACCAAAGUGUUUGAUAUGGCUGCCAUGGUGGAAGAACAGCUGGAACUGCAUAAACCCCAAUGAGCUUUUUAGUCUGAGUGCUUGAGAUGGAUCAUCUUAUUAAUAUUUCCUGAAGUUUGUAGCAAAUAUUGUUAUUUUAUCCAGUAUAGGCCAGGAAUAUUGCCCGAAUUGAAAAAUAAACCAAUUUGCACUGAUCUCUGACCAGACACGUGAGAUUUAGUUGAGCUUUAUUUAUUGCACAUUUUCCCAUUCAAACUUCUUAUCGGAGUACAGCAAUCACAAUCAGUUUGUAAGACAUGUUGGCAGUAGAGUAGCAGCCCCUGUGACUGGACUACACCAGUGAUAUACUGGUGUUAUAGCACUGUGUUGAGGUUUAUCAGUACUGUACAGAAAGAAGAGUGAAGGUGACUUAUAAGAUGUACAUGAAACAUUAUAUGUUCAGUUUUUCAUGUACAUAUUAGGAGAGAUUUCAGUUUAUAUAGUUAUAUAUUAUUGUAGUUUUAGGCAGUUUUGUUUUAGGUUUAUUCAUAGUCAGAUGUAUGAUGGGUGUCUGAAUCUUGACAGGGAAGUGUCAUAAGUUAUUACAUUUUGAAAGGUGCCUUUGAGAAGAAGACCCCCCCCCCCCCCCUAAAAAAAACCUCUACAUUUGUACACUGAAAACAUAUUUGUUGUAGUGAGUGUGUUUGUUUCCUUUCACAGUAGCCAAAAUGAGGACUGAUACUUGGAUUUUAUCGUAUUGUAGUGUUUCGGUUGUUAAAUGGAUAUUUGCUGGAAAGAGUUUUGUUUGAGGUGGGUGGCUGUUUCCCGAACCACAGCUCUAGGACCACAUCAUUGUAACCCCAGCAAUAACAAUUUGUGGGUAGAUAAAAUAUCUGACAAUAUCUCUGACGGUGCAAUGGACCAGUGGUUAGAAGCGACUUCUACCCACUCCAAGAAGCUUGCGUGUUCCGUGUAUGCAUUUGUGUGAAACCGUGUUUGUGAAAGAGUGAAGAGCUUUUAUAUUUCCUCACUACAGGGAACUAACAGAAACGAGAGCAGUCCUACAGCUCUGCAUAUCGAGCUAUGGAUCCUACCUGACCGCCUUGUUUGUCAUGGGUAGAGCAGUAUGAGGAAGGGAGCAUUUUCCCCUGUGAAGAUUGAAUAUUUUGGUUUCCCCAUAGAUGCUUUCUUGCCUUUUCCUUUCACCAGUCAGUAAAAAGUAUAUUUUCUUACUCUGAAAUGUUUCGUUUGCAUACAGCGUAUGUCAAUGCAUUAAUGUCUAGUUUAUAUGAUACACAUUCCAGAUGAUUAUGUCAUGUCUAGUGACCCAUAUGCUUCUUGUCACCCAGUGUGAUUCCUACGGAUCAGCUAGUGUAAAGUGGGAAAUGUUCAACGAGUGGCUGGUAGCAAGGCAAUGGUAGACCUUUAAGCUUUUUAUGCAUCUGUCACUUUUUUGUUUUGUUUCUUACAAUUAGUAGCCUAAAGCCACAUAAAUGUCAAAUAAAUCACUCUGUAGAAGAAUUACAACUUAGAAGGUGGUUAAUUGAAAAGCCCAUGACGUAAAAGCUUGAUCUGCACGCCAAUGCUUAGGUGACACUAAAAAUACAUGCCCACUUCCAUAAGGGAUAUCACUGAAAAAACAAGGUUUUGCCAUACAACUUCAGAGGUUUGCAGUUUUGCUUCUAUGCUUUAUAAAUGCAGUAUACCUGCAAGUUUGUUCCACACUGCUAAUUUACCUUACUAUCUCAGACUCUGUAUCACUUAUAAAUAAUGAUGAUAAAGUACGUUAUUGCUCUAAAUGUGUUUAUAUUACAAAGCAUGGAUAGAAUCCCCCCCCACCCCACACACACACCUUUCAAAACAUCUUUCAAAAUAAUAGUAUUAGAACAAUCCCUACAGUAAAUUCUAGAUUUUAGUCAGAGUUACAGUGAGCUCCAAAAUUAUUGGGGUUGUGACUUUUUUUUGACUGUGCUCCAGCACUUUGGAUUUGAAAUUAUACAAUGACUAAAAGGUUAAAGUGCAGACAGUCAGCUUUCAUUUGAGGGUAUUUUCAUCUAUAUCGUGUGAAUGAACCGUUUAGAAAUUACAGCACUUUUUGUACAUAGUUUCCCCCAUUUUAGAGGACCAAAAGUAUUGUGACAAAAUUCACAGGAGGCUGCUGAGGGGAGUACUCAUAACGACUCAUAAUAAUAGCCGAAACAGAGCAAAUGGAAUGGCAAUGUAUUUGAUACCAGUCCACUAAAUCCACUCCAGCCCAUUCUCCCCAAUGAAGGUGCCACAUAUACCUAUAUUAAAAUAGUCAAAUGUUUUGUUAUUUGAUCCCAUAUUCCUAGUACACCGGGAUUACGUCAAGUGUGUGAGUCUACAAACUUGUUGGAUGCAUUUGCUGUUUGUUUUGGUUGAGUUUCAGAUUAUUUUGUGCCUGAUAGAAAUGGUAGUCAUUUUGGAGUCACUUUUAUUGUAAAUAAGAAUAGAAUAUGUUCUGAACACUUCUACAUUCAUAUGGAUGCUACUAUGAUUAUGAAUACUCCUGAAUAAUGAUGUGUGGGAAAGUUACAGAAGCACAAAUAUCAAAUAAAAGUCACUCAAAUUACACAAUACAUAAUUUACCAUUAAUUUCUAUUGGGCACAAAAUAAUCAAACAACAAAUUCACAAGUUUGUAGACUCACAAGCUUGAUGUAAUCAUUGUGUUCUAGGAAUAUGGGACCAAAUACUACACUUUUGACUACUUUAAUACACAUAAGUCAAUUUGUCCCAAUACUUUUGGUCCCCUAAAAUGGGGAGACAAUGUACAAAAAGUGCUGUAAUUUCUAAACGGUUAAAUACCCUCAAAUGGAAGCUGACAGUCUGCACUUUAACCUCAGUCAUUGUAUCAUUUCAAAUCCAAAGUUCUGGAGAACAGAGCCAAAACGACAACAGUGUCACUGUACUUUUGGAGCUCACUGUAUAUCUCUGACUGUUGUACACUUAAGCCUGUAAAAGAUUUUUAAAAACUAUACACAUUUAAAUGUCUGUGUGAUGUAUCAUUUUUUGGUUUAAAAUAAUAAAAUUGUGCAAGAAAUGAA